rnacentral:rRNA from 1 species
AAACCAGCACCUCAAGUGGUCAGGAGGAUUAUCGGGCCUAAAGCAUCCGUAGCCUGUUCUGUAAGUUUUCGGUUAAAUCCAUUAGCUCAACUAAUGGGCCGCCGAAAAUACUGUAGAACUAGGGAGUGGGAGAGGUAGACGGUAUUCGGUAGGAAGGGGUAAAAUCCUUUGAUCUAUUGAGGACCACCUGUGGCGAAGGCGGUCUACCAGAACACGUUCGACGGUGAGGGAUGAAAGCUGGGGGAGCAAACCGGAUUAGAAACCCCGGUAGUCC